ensembl:snoRNA
UGGCAAAAAAGAAACAAGAGAAAACAUAUUUCUAAGGUGCUAAACAAACCUUUGGAGGUAUAGUAGCAGCAUGACUAAUGUCAGCUACUUCUGCCAGGCACCUUCAGACACGU